AAGAAUCGCCCCGUUUUUUGAAAUGGGUUCUAUUCCCAAACCGUGUAUACAUACCUUUGUUGCUUUGGCAGGCUGCCUUGGGGCGUUGGCUCUAGCUGACUGUGCCUGCCAGAGGACCCAAACUCGUUUGUUUAGUGAUGUCUGAGUACUAUAUAAUAGUUA
rnacentral:misc_RNA from 1 species